ensembl:lncRNA
GCAGAUACCAAAAGAUGUGGCAUGGGGUGGAACGAGAUAGACAAGAACUAAGAGUGCCCCCCCCUACCCCCAACAAACGAAGCAUGGGGACAUGGAGUCUGUGCUUCUCUGUACGGGUUUGUGUGGAAACGUGAAGGGAACUCCCAUCGGCUGGUGACCUGCUCAAAGGGUUCCAGGACUCUGCACACCUCCUCCACCACCUCCCAUUCCUCUUGGGUCAGAGCAUCAUCAGGUGCAUGGACAAUGGCCAGGGGAGAGAUGAUGGCAUCCUUUGACUCAAGAAACCGCUUCAACAUAUAACACGUUGAAUUCUACCUUGUAGUGCAGUCUUGUUUAGGCCUCAGCUCAGGCAUCCCCAUCUGGCAUUGUGUAGACUUUCAUUUUUCAGAACCUACUGUGCUCCUGUGGAAGUAUUCCACAGCUGCUUUCACUUUGUC